ensembl:lncRNA
GUUGAACACAUUGAGGCCAUCCAUCCACCAUCUCACACACUGUCCCCUUGGAGCACCGAACAUCGCUACAGGUGGGUCUCCUGAUAGAGGUCUUGAUUUGGACACAAUGAGGCCAUCCAUCCACCAUCUGGCACACGGUUCCCAUCUGACACUGAACAUCCUGGCAUGAGGGCUGGUUCUGAACACAAUGGGGCCAUCCAUCUGUCAUCCUACACGACGUCCCUUUGGGACACUGCAUGUCCUUGCAAGAAGGCUGCUUUGGGACCACCUUGGGUUGAACGCAUUGAGGCCAUCCAUCCACUAUCUGACACACCGUCCCCUUGGAGCACCGAACGUCACUGCAGGUGGGUCUCCUGAUGGAACUCUUCGUCUGGACACACUGGGGCCAACCAUUGACCAUCUGGCACACGGUUCCCUUCUGACAUUGGACAUCCUGGCAGGAGGGCUGGUUCUGCACACAGUGGGGCCACCCAUCUCUUAUCCUACACGAUGUCCCUUUGGGACACUGUAUGUCCUUGCAAGAAGGCUGCCUUGGGGCCACCUUGGGUUGAAGACACUGAGGCCAUCCAUCCACCAUCUCACACACUGUACCCUUGGAGCACUGAACAUCACUACAGGUGGGUCUCCUGAUAGAGGUCUUGAUUUGGACACAAUGAGGCCAUCCAUCCACCAUCUGGCACACGGUUCCCUUCUGACACUGAACAUCCUGGCAGGACGGCUGGUUCUGAACACAGUGGGGCCACCCAUCUGUCAUCCUACAUGAGGACCCCUUGGGACACUGCAUGUCCUUGCAAGAAGGCUGCCUUGGGACCACCUUGGGUUGAACACAUCGAGGCCAUCCAUCCACCAUCUCACACACCAUCCCCUUGGAGCACCGAACAUCACUACAGGUGGGUCUCCUGAUGGAAGUCUUGAUUUGGACACAAUGAGGCCAUCCAUCCACCAUCUGGCACACAGUUCCCUUCUGACAUUGGACGUCCUGGCAGGAGGGCUGGUUCUGCACACAGUGGGGCCACCCAUCUGUCAUCCUACACGAGGCCCCCUUGGGACACUGCAUGUCCUUGCAAGAAGGCUGCCUUUGGGCCACCUUGAGUUGAACACAUUGAGGCCAUCCAUCCACCAUCUGACACACUGAACCUUUGGAGCACCGAACGUCACUACAGGUGGGUCUCCUGAUGGAAGACUUUGUCUGGACACACUGAGGCCAACCAUUGACCAUCAGACACUCCGUUCCCUUCUGACAUUGGACAUCCUGGCAGGAGGGCUGGUUCUGCACACAGUGGGGCCAUCCAUCUCUUAUCCUACAUGAGGUCCCUUUGGGACACUGCAUGUCCUUGCAAGAAGGCUGCCUUGGGGCCACCUUGGGUUGCAAACAUUGAGGCCAUCCAUCCACCAUCUCACACACCGUCCCCUUGGAACAGUGGAAAUCACUACAGGUGGGUCUCCUGAUGGAAGUCUUAAUUUGGACGCACUGUGGCCAACCAUCCACCAUCACACACUCCGUUCCCUUCUGACAUUGGACAUCCUGGCAGGAGGGCUGGUUCUGCACACAGUGGGGCCAUCCAUCUCUUAUCCGACAUGAGGUCCCUUUGGGACACUGCACGUCCCUGCAGGAAGGUUGCCUUAUUGUCGUCUUGGGUUGGACACACCGUGGCCAACCAUCCACCAUCUGGCAUGUGGAUCCCUUCUGGCACUGGAUGUCACUGCAGGUAGGUUGAUUUUGG